GAUGAACGCUAGCGGCAGGCUUAACACAUGCAAGUCGAGGGGUAUUGGUUUUCGGACCAAGAGACCGGCGCACGGGUGCGUAACGCGUAUGCAAUCUACCUUUUGCAGAGGGAUAGCCCAGAGAAAUUUGGAUUAAUACCUCAUAGUAUAGUACUUUGGCAUCAAGGAACUAUUAAAGUCACAACGGCAAAGAUGAGCAUGCGUCCCAUUAGCUAGUUGGUAAGGUAACGGCUUACCAAGGCUACGAUGGGUAGGGGUCCUGAGAGGGAGAUCCCCCACACUGGUACUGAGACACGGACCAGACUCCUACGGGAGGCAGCAGUGAGGAAUAUUGGACAAUGGGCGCAAGCCUGAUCCAGCCAUGCCGCGUGCAGGAUGACGGUCCUAUGGAUUGUAAACUGCUUUAUACAGGAAGAAACACUCCGACGUGUCGGAGCUUGACGGGUUACUGUAAGGAAUAAGGAU
rnacentral:rRNA from 1 species